AUAGUCUCCAAGUCUCAGGUCCAACCUUGGACUUAUUUAGCGGUCGCCCAUUAGGUCCAGGGUUGGACCUGAGCCGUUUGCCGUAACUAUUGGUAAUCGAGUCUCCAAUCGAUUCUCGAAGCCCCUGUCAAGAACCAGGGCAGCCAUAGUGAUAUUAUUCUUUCGUUUUUUCUCGUUUACAUUUGUGGUUUUUUGCAGCGAAACAGCUUAAAUUAGGUAGUGUAGAUAGUAAAUUGAUAGAAGGGAUGGAUGACAAAGAGACUCAAAAUUCGCCUGUUUUGACUGCUAAAGAAUUGCAAGCAAGCUUUAAUUCUGAAGGUAAAGCAAAAAGUGACGUUUUAAGAAGAAGAAAUAUACGAGCUUCGAAAAGCCUGAAAGCCGGCAAAAGUUCUUGAAGAGUGGAUGGCGUUAAGCAGCGGCCUAGGAUUGAAAAGAAAUGUGAAGGAACAGCAGUCACAAUUCCAAACAAGGCUCCAAACAAGGCUCCAAACAAGGCUCCCCGUUUCCAGUCGUAUUAUAACCAGAUACCAUGUGAUAUCUUUACCAACAAUGAAAACAAUGAAGAGCCCAUGACUACAGAUACUGGGGUACCGUUCAUGCUGAAACAUGACUAUCAAGAAACGCAGACUGUUUGGAAGACUAGAAUGGAUACCCAACACCAACUGUGGAGUAAAAACAGAACUUCACUUCACCAGUCAAUCGUAGAAAGUUUGCCAUUAUGUAAACAAGCAGCAUGUUCGAACUGCCGUGGAGUAGGCUCAACGCCAGUUAAAUGUCAAACUUGCAGAACCUACCUGUGUGCUGCAUGUGACAAAAUUGUUCACAGCAAGACUGUUACACACCAGCGAGUAUGUGAAGUGAAAGACAGUCUUCAUCAAAUGCUUCCAACUGAAUUUCUAAAUGGUGUGGAUUCCUUGGAGACAAUAGACGUUCCUGUUCCGAUUCUGGAGCCAGUAGCGUGUGGUUCUUGCAAUUCAAUCGGUUCUGUAAGAGUGCACGCAGGUGCAACUAGAACUACUGUUGUAUCUACCUUAGGGCGAUUUGAUGUUAGCUCGUCAGCGUUCAAUUGCAACACCUGUGGAGCUGUUCGAGAGGCCACUUGUACAGAAUACAUUUGUUCUGGUUACUGGCCAGGAUCUUACAAUAGUAAUAAUUACUUUUUUGAGGAAAGUUUACUGCUGCUGUGGUUCCAUGUUCGACAAGAACUUCCUGGCUCCUCCCAGCACGGGUGGAUCACUGCGGUUGGGAACGUUUCCCAACAUCACCAAAGAAUCGGUACUGUCAACAGAAUUUUGUACAACAGAAGUCGCAAGGAGUUUGAAUACUUCCAUCACGUUGUGAAACGAGACAUUUUAUUUAGAUUUGCGCUUGGUUGCAAGGCAUGUGGAACCAGUCCACACGGACACCAUGCCGAUGCGUGCAUGAAGUUGUACAAUUUUGAUUCUGUUAACGAACGAAAUGGUGAGUCUCUCUUCAAAGAUGAAAUAAUGGUUUGUGACCAAGACCAACAAAAGCACGUCGAACUUAUAGAACAAAGAAUACCAAGGUCAGCUGGAAAUGCUACUUGUGGUAGGUCCAAAUUUAAAGCUGGCCGUUCCAAUGCCAGGAGAAAGGACACUAAAAAUGCUAAAGGAAUUGAGAUGAUGACUUGUACCCAUGGGGUAAUUAAGGGAAUGGCUAGCUUGGCUCAUGCUGAGACCUACAAGCACACGCAUUUACAACAGCUGAAAUCAGUUGAAUCAGGAGCUACCUUUUUUGCAACGAUGUUGUUUGUAAAUUCAAGCCUUUUUGUGAAAAAAUAGCACUAAUGUUUCCUGAGCGGAAAGAUUUUCAACGGGCUGCUAUUGCACAGAAGUGGUUUCUGUCAAGAUUCCAUGGACGAGCACACAGUUGGGAUUGCAGGGUUUUACACUUCGGUCAUUGGUUGAAUGGUGCUGCAGACUUUCUUGGUGAAGAACAAGAACAAUUAUUUGCAAUUCAAGGUAGAAGAGCUGCCACUUCCAAGCACAUGAGCUUAUCUG
rnacentral:misc_RNA from 1 species